UACGUAGGUGGCAAGCGUUGUCCGGAUUUAUUGGGUUUAAAGGGUGCGUAGGCGGCCUUAUAAGUCAGUGCUGAAAUAUCCCGGCUUAACCGGGAGGGUGGCAUUGAUACUGUAGGGCUUGAGUGUAGUCGAGGUAGGCGGAAUUGACGGUGUAGCGGCGAAAUGCUUGGAUAUCGUCAAGAACACCAAUAGUGAAGACAGCUUACUGGGCUUAAACUGACGCUGAGGCACGAAAGUGUGGGGAUCAAACAGG
rnacentral:rRNA from 1 species